GGGGUUGUGGCUCAGCGGUAGAGCACUUGCCUGGUAUGUAUGAUGCUCUGGGUUCAAUCCUCAGCACUGCA
rnacentral:tRNA from 1 species